rnacentral:tmRNA from 1 species
GGGCUUGUACUGGUUUCGACGGGGAUUUUGAACGUGGGGCAGCCAUCCGUGGACCAGGACCACGUUAAAAACUGGAAAUUAAAUAUAAACGCUGAUAACAGAGUUUUAGCAGCUGCUUAAUUGCAGCAGUCGGACCCGGUAAGCCUGCAGCCCGGGAACCCGGCUUCGAUUUUAUGCAGGACCCUCAUGUCACUAAGCUUUGCCUGACAUGAAGUAUGAUGAAGCUACUGAAAUCCGGAGUUUGUCUUUAGACGCCGGACAGAGGGAAUGUUAAAAUAAAGACUGUGAUGGAAGACACCACACCGGAGAGAUUUUCGGACAGGGGUUCGAUUCCCCUCAGGUCCAU